rnacentral:rRNA from 1 species
UACGUAGGGGGCUAGCGUUGUCCGGAAUCAUUGGGCGUAAAGCGCGCGUAGGCGGCCCGGUAAGUCCGCUGUGAAAGUCCAGGGCUCAACCCUGGAAAGCCGGUGGAUACUGCCGGGCUAGAGUCCGGGAGAGGCGAGUGGAAUUCCCUGGUGUAGCGGUGGAAUGCGCAGAUAUCAGGAGGAACACCUAAGGCGAAGGCAGCUCGCUGGAACGGUACUGACGCUGAGGCGCGAAAGCGUGGGGAGCAAACAGG